rnacentral:rRNA from 1 species
GACGAACGCUGGCGGCGUGCUUAACACAUGCAAGUCGAACGGAAAGGCCCUGCUUUUGUGGGGUGCUCGAGUGGCGAACGGGUGAGUAACACGUGAGUAACCUGCCCUUGACUUUGGGAUAACUUCAGGAAACUGGGGCUAAUACCGGAUAGGAGCUCCUGCUGCAUGGUGGGGGUUGGAAAGUUUCGGCGGUUGGGGAUGGACUCGCGGCUUAUCAGCUUGUUGGUGGGGUAGCGGCUUACCAAGGCUUUGACGGGUAGCCGGCCUGGGAGGGUGACCGGCCACAUUGGGCCUGAGAUACGGCCCAGCCUCCUACGGGACGCAGCAGUGGGGAAUAUUGCACAAUGGGCGGAAGCCUGAUGCAGCCACGCCGCGUGCGGGAUGACGGCCUUCGGGUUGUAAACCGCUUUCGCCUGGGACGAAGCGUGAGUGACGGUACUGGGUAAAGAAGCACCGGCUAACUACGUG